rnacentral:rRNA from 1 species
GCAAUGCCGCGUGCAGGAUGAAGGCCUUCGGGUUGUAAACUGCUUUUGUACGGAACGAAACGGUUCUCCUUAAUACGGGGGGCUAAUGACGGUACCGUAAGAAUAAGCACCGGCUAACUACGUGCCAGCAGCCGCGGUAAUACGUAGGGUGCGAGCGUUAAUCGGAAUUACUGGGCGUAAAGCGUGCGCAGGCGGUUAUAUAAGACAGAUGUGAAAUCCCCGGGCUCAACCUGGGACCUGCAUUUGUGACUGUAUAGCUAGAGUACGGUAGAGGGGGAUGGAAUUCCGCGUGUAGCAGUGAAAUGCGUAGAUAUGCGGAGGAACACCGAUGGCGAAGGCAAUCCCCUGGACCUGUACUGACGCUCAUGCACGAAAGCGUGGGGAGCAAACAGGAUUAGAUACCCUGGUAGUCCACGCCCUAAACGAUGUCAACUGGUUGUUGGGUCUUCACUGACUCAGUAACGAAGCUAA